UUGAUUAUAGACAGAUAUCAUAUUCAUAGAUUGUAAAAGAAAUAUUUAAUGCUACAGGUGAAGCAAGCUAUGGACUAGACACAGUAUUCAGCUUUCUCUGCUGAAGUAAUGUGACCAAAUCAAGUGUCACCUGGAAAGAGGAAUGUCAAGGGUGAUUAACAUUAACUCCAAGAUAGCCAUUGGAAACUUCAAGCAAAAUCUGCUACAGCAAACUCAAACAUAAAGUGGCAUAACAAGGAAUAUUUAUGUCUGGACUGAGAAUCUAAUGGAAGAUCCCUGUAUCACUAGUUAGAUCCCACGGAAAUAUAGGAUCCUUUACUAAUCAAGUGUCAUCUGCAGUGUUACAAAAG